CGCGCAGCGUGCCCCGCAGCAGGUGAGGGAUCGGCGUCUUCACCUGACCAGGUGAGACAGGUGAGCCCCAGGUGAGCCCCAGGUGUGUCACAGGUGUGUCACAGGUGUGUCACAGGUGUGUCAC